rfam:Salmo salar isolate Sally breed double haploid chromosome ssa07, whole genome shotgun sequence.
GUCUCUGUGGCGCAAUCGGCUAGCGCGUUAGACUGUUAAUCUAAAGGUUGGUGGUUCGAGCCCACCCAGGGACG